ACCAAUUCUAGCCCAUAAACCCACUCACACUAAAUUACCAAUUUACUAUAAAUAAAACAUUUACCUACCAUUAAAAGUAUAGGAGAUAGAAAUUUUAACAUGGCGCUAUAGAGACAGUACCGUAAGGGAACGAUGAAAGAAAAAAAUCAAAGUACAAAAAAGCAAAGAUUAUCCCUUGUACCUUUUGCAUAAUGAAUUAACUAGUAAAAACUUAACAAAAUGAAUUUUAGCUAAGUACCCCGAAACCAGACGAGCUACUUAUAAACAAUUUAUCAAGAACUAACUCAUCUAUGUAGCAAAAUAGUGAGAAGAUUUGUAAGUAGAGGUGAAACGCCUAACGAGCCUGGUGAUAGCUGGUUGUCCAGAAAAUGAAUGUUAGUUCAGCUUUAAAAAUACCAAAAAUAUAAAUAAAUUAUGAUGUAUUUUUAAAAGUUAGUCUAAAAGGGUACAGCCUUUUAGAAAUGGAUACAACCUUAAUUAGAGAGUAAGAUUUAAUAUAUGCCAUAGUAGGCUUAAAAGCAGCCACCAAUUAAGAAAGCGUUAAAGCUCAACGACAAAACAAUAUUAAUUUCAACAACAAAUAAUUAACUCCUAACCUAAUACUGGACUAAUCUAUUAAGAAUAGAAGAANNNNNNNNNNNNNNNNNNNNNNNNNNNNNNNNNNNNNNNNNNNNNNNNNNNNNNNNNNNNAUAAUAUUCUGACUAUUAACAGCAAAAUAAGAAUAGCCCACCCAUAAACAACUUAUUUAUUAUACUGUUAACCCAACACAGGAGUGCACCUAAGGAAAGGUUAAAAAAAGUAAAAGGAACUCGGCAAACCUAAACCCCGCCUGUUUACCAAAAACAUCACCUCUAGCAUUACUAGUAUUAGAGGCACUGCCUGCCCAGUGACACACGUUUAACGGCCGCGGUACCCUGACCGUGCAAAGGUAGCAUAAUCACUUGUUCUUUAAAUAAGGACUUGUAUGAAUGGCCACACGAGGGUUUUACUGUCUCUUACUUCUAAUCAGUGAAAUUGACCUUCCCGUGAAGAGGCGGGAAUACAUUAAUAAGACGAGAAGACCCUAUGGAGCUUUAACUACUUAACCCAAAGAAACAAAAUUUAUUUCUAAGGAAACAACAACAUUCUUUAUGGGUUAACAGCUUUGGUUGGGGUGACCUCGGAGAAUAAAAAAUCCUCCGAGCGAUUUUAAAGACUAGACCCACAAGUCAAAUUACACAAUCGCUUAUUGAUCCAAUAACUUGAUCAACGGAACAAGUUACCCUAGGGAUAACAGCGCAAUUCUAUUCUAGAGUCCAUAUCGACAAUAGAGCUUACGACCUCGAUGUUGGAUCAGGACAUCCUAAUGGUGCAGCAGCUAUCAAGGGUUCGUUUGUUCAACGAUUAAAGUCCUACGUGAUCUGAGUUCAGACCGGAGCAAUCCAGGUCGGUUUCUAUCUAUUGCACAUUUCUCCUAGUACGAAAGGACCAGAGAAAUAAGGCCAACUUCAAAUAAGCGCCUUAAAUUAAUUAAUGAUAUUAUCUUAAUUAACUCUACAAAUAAAACCCACCCUAGAAAAGGGUUUU
rnacentral:rRNA from 2 species